rnacentral:rRNA from 1 species
GUGCCAGCAGCCGCGGUAAUACGGGGGGGGCAAGCGUUGUUCGGAAUUACUGGGCGUAAAGGGCGCGUAGGCGGCUUGUUAAGUCGGGUGUGAAAACUCUGGGCUCAACCCAGAGCCUGCAUUCGAAACUGAUGAGCUAGAGUUCUGGAGGGGAAAGCGGAAUUCCUGGUGUAGCAGUGAAAUGCGUAGAUAUCAGGAGGAACACCGGUGGCGAAGGCGGCUUUCUGGACAGAAACUGACGCUGAUGCGCGAAAGCUAGGGGAGCAAACAGGAUUAGAUACCCCUGUAGUCC